rnacentral:rRNA from 1 species
UACGAAGGGGGCUAGCGUUGCUCGGAAUUACUGGGCGUAAAGCGCACGUAGGCGGCUUCUUAAGUCGGUGGUGAAAUCCUGGAGCUCAACUCCAGAACUGCCUUCGAUACUGGGAAGCUCGAGUCCGGGAGAGGUGAGUGGAACUGCGAGUGUAGAGGUGAAAUUCGUAGAUAUUGGGAAGAACACCGGUGGCGAAGGCGGAUCUCUGGGCCGAUACUGACGCUGAGGAGCGAAAGCGUGGGGAGCGAACAGG